GAAACUCCAGGCUGAUGUGCAGAAGGGCAGGAAAAAAUUGCCUUCCAGAUGAAAUAUAUGGCAAGAAGAGCUGUAUUUCCAAACUAUUCCGAGGAAAUAAUUUUGCAGCUCUGCCUCUGAGCUCUCUCCUGGCAAGAAUCCAAACCUCCUGCCGGCAUCCAGAAGUGGAGACAUGGAUCUUUG
rnacentral:lncRNA from 12 species